rnacentral:rRNA from 1 species
GCAAGUCGAGGGGCAGCACAUGAGUAGCAAUACGAUGGUGGCGACCGGCGCACGGGUGAGUAACACGUAUGCAACCUACCUUUAACAGGGGAAUAACCCGUUGAAAAACGGACUAAUACUCCAUAACACAGGGGUUCCGCAUGGGAAUAUUUGUUAAAGAUUUAUCGGUUGAAGAUGGGCAUGCGUUCCAUUAGCUUGUUGGUGAGGUAACGGCUCACCAAGGCUACGAUGGAUAGGGGAACUGAGAGGUUUAUCCCCCACACUGGAACUGAGACACGGUCCAGACUCCUACGGGAGGCAGCAGUGAGGAAUAUUGGUCAAUGGAGGCAACUCUGAACCAGCCAAGUCGCGUGAAGGAUGAAGGUCUUAUGGAUUGUAAACUUCUUUUGCAAGGGAAUAAAGUGGGGGACGUGUCCUCCUUUGCAUGUACCUUGCGAAUAAGGAUCGGCUAACUCCGUGCCAGCAGCCGCGGUAAUACGGAGGAUCCGAGCGUUAUCCGGAUUUAUUGGGUUUAAAGGGUGCGCAGGCGGGAUGUUAAGUCGGCGGUGAAAUUUUGCAGCUCAACUGUAAAAGUGCCUUCGAUACUGGCUUUCUUGAGUGUGGAUGAAGUAGGCGGAAUUUGUGGUGUAGCGGUGAAAUGCUUAGAUAUCACGAGGAACUCCGAUUGCGCAGGCAGCUUACUAAACCACUACUGACGCUCAUGCACGAAGGCGUGGGGAUCAAACAGGAUUAGAUACCCUGGUAGUCCACGCAGUAAACGAUGAUUACUAGUUGUUUGCGAUACAAUGUAAGCGACUGAGCGAAAGCGUUAAGUAAUCCACCUGGGGAGUACGUUCGCAAGAAUGAAACUCAAAGGAAUUGACGGGGGCCCGCACAAGCGGAGGAC